rnacentral:rRNA from 1 species
AUCAGUGUGUGUGUUAGUGGAAGCGUCUGGAAAGGCGCGCGAUACAGGGUGACAGCCCCGUACACAAAAAUGCACAUGCUGUGAGCUCGAUGAGUAGGGCGGGACACGUGGUAUCCUGUCUGAAUAUGGGGGGACCAUCCUCCAAGGCUAAAUACUCCUGACUGACCGAUAGUGAACCAGUACCGUGAGGGAAAGGCGAAAAGAACCCCGGCGAGGGGAGUGAAAAAGAACCUGAAACCGUGUACGUACAAGCAGUGGGAGCACAGAGCAAUCUGUGUGACUGCGUACCUUUUGUAUAAUGGGUCAGCGACUUAUAUUCUGUAGCAAGGUUAACCGAAUAGGGGAGCCGAAGGGAAACCGAGUCUUAACUGGGCGUUAAGUUGCAGGGUAUAGACCCGAAACCCGGUGAUCUAGCCAUGGGCAGGUUGAAGGUUGGGUAACACUAACUGGAGGACCGAACCGACUAAUGUUGAAAAAUUAGCGGAUGACUUGUGGCUGGGGGUGAAAGGCCAAUCAAACCGGGAGAUAGCUGGUUCUCCCCGAAAGCUAUUUAGGUAGCGCCUCGUGAAUUCAUCUCCGGGGGUAGAGCACUGUUUCGGCAAGGGGGUCAUCCCGACUUACCAACCCGAUGCAAACUGCGAAUACCGGAGAAUGUUAUCACGGGAGACACACGGCGGGUGCUAACGUCCGUCGUGAAGAGGGAAACAACCCAGACCGCCAGCUAAGGUCCCAAAGUCAUGGUUAAGUGGGAAACGAUGUGGGAAGGCCCAGACAGCCAGGAUGUUGGCUUAGAAGCAGCCAUCAUUUAAAGAAAGCGUAAUAGCUCACUGGUCGAGUCGGCCUGCGCGGAAGAUGUAACGGGGCUAAACCAUGCACCGAAGCUGCGGCAGCGACACUGUGUGUUGUUGGGUAGGGGAGCGUUCUGUAAGCCUGUGAAGGUGUGCUGUGAGGCAUGCUGGAGGUAUCAGAAGUGCGAAUGCUGACAUAAGUAACGAUAAAGCGGGUGAAAAGCCCGCUCGCCGGAAGACCAAGGGUUCCUGUCCAACGUUAAUCGGGGCAGGGUGAGUCGACCCCUAAGGCGAGGCCGAAAGGCGUAGUCGAUGGGAAACAGGUUAAUAUUCCUGUACUUGGUGUUACUGCGAAGGGGGGACGGAGAAGGCUAUGUUGGCCGGGCGACGGUUGUCCCGGUUUAAGCGUGUAGGCUGGUUUUCCAGGCAAAUCCGGAAAAUCAAGGCUGAGGCGUGAUGACGAGGCACUACGGUGCUGAAGCAACAAAUGCCCUGCUUCCAGGAAAAGCCUCUAAGCAUCAGGUAACAUCAAAUCGUACCCCAAACCGACACAGGUGGUCAGGUAGAGAAUACCAAGGCGCUUGAGAGAACUCGGGUGAAGGAACUAGGCAAAAUGGUGCCGUAACUUCGGGAGAAGGCACGCUGAUAUGUAGGUGAAGUCCCUCGCGGAUGGAGCUGAAAUCAGUCGAAGAUACCAGCUGGCUGCAACUGUUUAUUAAAAACACAGCACUGUGCAAACACGAAAGUGGACGUAUACGGUGUGACGCCUGCCCGGUGCCGGAAGGUUAAUUGAUGGGGUCAGCGCAAGCGAAGCUCUUGAUCGAAGCCCCGGUAAACGGCGGCCGUAACUAUAACGGUCCUAAGGUAGCGAAAUUCCUUGUCGGGUAAGUUCCGACCUGCACGAAUGGCGUAAUGAUGGCCAGGCUGUCUCCACCCGAGACUCAGUGAAAUUGAACUCGCUGUGAAGAUGCAGUGUACCCGCGGCAAGACGGAAAGACCCCGUGAACCUUUACUAUAGCUUGACACUGAACAUUGAGCCUUGAUGUGUAGGAUAGGUGGGAGGCUUUGAAGUGUGGACGCCAGUCUGCAUGGAGCCGACCUUGAAAUACCACCCUUUAAUGUUUGAUGUUCUAACGUGGACCCGUGAUCCGGGUUGCGGACAGUGUCUGGUGGGUAGUUUGACUGGGGCGGUCUCCUCCUAAAGAGUAACGGAGGAGCACGAAGGUUGGCUAAUCCUGGUCGGACAUCAGGAGGUUAGUGCAAUGGCAUAAGCCAGCUUGACUGCGAGCGUGACGGCGCGAGCAGGUGCGAAAGCAGGUCAUAGUGAUCCGGUGGUUCUGAAUGGAAGGGCCAUCGCUCAACGGAUAAAAGGUACUCCGGGGAUAACAGGCUGAUACCGCCCAAGAGUUCAUAUCGACGGCGGUGUUUGGCACCUCGAUGUCGGCUCAUCACAUCCUGGGGCUGAAGUAGGUCCCAAGGGUAUGGCUGUUCGCCAUUUAAAGUGGUACGCGAGCUGGGUUUAGAACGUCGUGAGACAGUUCGGUCCCUAUCUGCCGUGGGCGCUGGAGAACUGAGGGGGGCUGCUCCUAGUACGAGAGGACCGGAGUGGACGCAUCACUGGUGUUCGGGUUGUCAUGCCAAUGGCACUGCCCGGUAGCUAAAUGCGGAAGAGAUAAGUGCUGAAAGCAUCUAAGCACGAAACUUGCCCCGAGAUGAGUUCUCCCUGACCCUUUAAGGGUCCUGAAGGAACGUUGAAGACGACGACGUUGAUAGGCCGGGUGUGUAAGCGCAGCGAUGCGUUGAGCUAACCGGUACUAAUGAACCGUGAGGCUUAACCUUACAACGCCGAAGGUGUUU